rnacentral:tRNA from 1 species
CAAACUAUAGCUUAAAUGAAGUAUUUUAUUUACAUUAAAAAGUUAAUUGUUUGAUUCAAUUUAGUUUGA